rnacentral:rRNA from 1 species
GACGAACGCUGGCGGCGUGCUUAACACAUGCAAGCCGAACGGUAAGGCCCUUCGGGGUACACGAGUGGCGAACGGGUGAGUAACACGUGGGUGAUCUGCCCUGCACUUCGGGAUAAGCCUGGGAAACUGGGUCUAAUACCGGAUAGGACCAUUGCCUGCAUGGGUGGUGGUGGAAAGCUUUUGCGGUGUGGGAUGGGCCUGCGGCCUAUCAGCUUGUUGGUGGGGUGAUGGCCUACCAAGGCGACGACGGGUAGCCGGCCUGAGAGGGUGACCGGCCACACUGGGACUGAGAUACGGCCCAGACUCCUACGGGAGGCAGCAGUGGGGAAUAUUGCACAAUGGGCGCAAGCCUGAUGCAGCGACGCCGCGUGAGGGAUGACGGCCUUCGGGUUGUAAACCUCUUUCAGCACCGACGAAGCGCAAGUGACGGUAGGUGCAGAAGAAGGACCGGCCAACUACGUGCCAGCCGCCGCGGUAA